UAACUUUUGGAACUCAACAAU
rnacentral:piRNA from 1 species